rnacentral:lncRNA from 1 species
ACUGAUCAUCGAUAAGUGACCUGACGGCCGACCGGACAAUAAAUUAUCAAGUGCUGGUUUCAUAUUGGAGAUGAUUGCAUGUACGGGCAUUGGGCUGGGAAAAUCAAACCCUGGCGAUUAAAGACUGACUACCCUAAAACCCGAUGAAUGUGGAAGACCUGAAAGACUAUGUGACAGUGUGGUGUAAAAAGAAGUAUGGUGCAGCAAACUGAUGCUACGCGGAAUCUGGCAAUAACAGAAAGAAUUGGAUAUAUGUCAAUAAGUUUGCCAAAAAAAAAGAACAAAUAUUCGGUGAAAAUGACUUCAGUGUAUACUUCUCUAGUGUUAAAUGGCAGUUGCAUUUAAUGGAAUAAUUCUUAUUUUGAAUUUUAUAUAUAUUUAGCAGAUUAGAAAGCUUCAGAGGUAUUUCUAUCAUUCGUUUCUAAUUUGUCAUGUUAAAUCAUAUUCAUGUUAUUAUUUUGAAUUCUGUGAAUUAAAUAAUUUACAAAGAA